UCCACGCAGUAAACGAUGAAUGUUAGUCGUCGGGUAGCUAGUCUAUUCGGUGAUGCAGCUAACGCAUUAAACAUUCCGCCUGGGGAGUACGGUCGCAAGAUUAAAACUCAAAGGAAUAGACGGGGACCCGCACAAGUGGUGGAGCAUGUGGUUUAAUUCGAAGAUACGCGAAGAACCUUACCUAGCCUUGACAUUGAAGAAACACACUAGAGAUAGAGUGGUGCCCUUCGGGG
rnacentral:rRNA from 1 species